rnacentral:rRNA from 1 species
UACGUAGGGGGGCAAGCGUUGUCCGGAUUUAUUGGGCGUAAAGAGCGUGUAGGCGGCCAUGCAGGUCCGCUGUGAAAACUCGAGGCUCAACCUCGAGACGUCGGUGGAAACCGCAUGGCUAGAGUCCGGAAGAGGAGAGUGGAAUUCCCGGUGUAGCGGUGAAAUGCGCAGAUAUCGGGAAGAACACCCGUGGCGAAGGCGGCUCUCUGGGACGGUACUGACGCUGAGACGCGAAAGCGUGGGGAGCGAACAGG